UUUCCGUAGGUGAACCUGCGGAAGGAUCAUUAUUGGAUUUUGAAACUUCAGGCUGCUGCUGGCUCUCCUCGGAGGGCAUGUGCACGCUUGUUGUCCAUUAUUUCCCCCACUGUGCACAAAUUGUAGACCUUUCAGUAGGCCUAUGUUGUUUCUCACAAUCUCUGAAUGUAAUAGAAUGGUUUUGAAUCUUGGGAAAUACAAUACAACUUUCAGCAACGGAUCUCUUGGCUCUC
rnacentral:misc_RNA from 1 species